UAUUAACACAUCAUAUGCUUGACCAGAAGUAUUUAAAAUUUUAAAUUUGUGUUAAAAAUCGGAUGUUUUUUUUAUUGAGGAGAAUAUAUCGAAAAAACUGCUUUCUUGGACGGUGGCUAUGAUAGCACUUAUGGUUGCACAACAUACUGCAUGACACAGUGGAAAUGACAGAAGAAAAGAAAAAAAGACAAAUGCAAUCUCACAAGGGAAACGGACAUCAGCCUCCUUAAAUGGCACAUCAUGCUCAUCUGGAAAGAAAAAAAACACAAAAAACCCUCCUCAAAGAAUAAAACCAAGCAAAACAGUACUUUGAAAGUUAACAAAGAUUGUGGAAAGAAAGAAACACAUCAGCAUAGGAAAAUAGUUUCUAAAUGAAAAAGAAAUGGAAAAACCAGAGCAGCUUAAGGAAAGAUUCUGGUGGCAGUGGCAGUAUAGAAUACAAUAAUUUGGCUGGUUUUUUUUUAACAAUAAGUGAUAAGACCAUGACAUUAGCUAUAAUAGAAAAACUUGGCAAGCUGCCCAACCAACGGUGCAAGAAGAAAAUGUUAGAUUCAUCUCUUCAGCUGGAUAAUCUCUUCAGCUGGACAAGAAUGAUGUUCUUAAAAUAUUUAAAAUUAUUUGAUAUCCGAAUUUAAAGGACAUGUUAAAAUGGUAAAAUAGUAUUAUCCGAGGAUAUUGUAAAUUGUUAAUUCAGUAACAAAUUAUUUAGACAAAAGAAAAAACCAUAGAUUGAACACUCCUGGAUUACUUUUAUAUUGUCUUGUUUUAAUAAUUACAAGACAGACUGUCAGCUUGAAAGAACUGGGCAUUUUGUUAAUGUAGUGUACAAACGAAAUAUGAUCAACUGGAUGAUUCAUAGCCUGCAUAAACGAAAUAGGAGGGUGACGCAAUAAACGGAAGGAUUCAUACUCUGAAAUCGCAUAAUAGGAGGGUCUGGCAAUACGCUUUGGGAGAUUCGUAGACUGUAGCAGUGAUAGACGAUAGGAGAAUAAAAAAAGAAGUGAACAAGUUGAGUUUAUUGACUAGAAUUGCUUUAAAUUUUAUAAUGGUGAAUGACAUUUUCUAAUUUGUUAUAAUGAUUUUUUUUCCAAGAAGGAACAUUAAAUUAAGUGAACUUUCUGUGUUUAACAAAUGGGGAAAAAAAUGUAAAAAUAUUACAAGUUUCUAUGUUUGUUGGAGGAAAUUUUGAAUGAUUUCAUAUUAGUUGGAAGAAAUUUCUUCCAACUUGAGAGACGAAAAUUAUCACAAGUUAAGUUUAUUAACUAAAAUUGCCUAUUUUAUUAGAAAUGAUUUUCCUAAUUACUUGGAAGAAAUUUCUCCCAAGAAGGAACACUAAAUGAAGUGAACUAUCUGUGUUAUACAAAUUGAAAUUAAUAUGUAAAUGUAUCAAAUGUUUCUAUAUUUGAUGGGAGAAAUUUUGAAUGGUUUGAUAUUACUUAGAAGAAAUUUCUUCCAACUUGAGAGAGGAUGAAAAUGAAGGGGACAAGUUGAGUUUAUUAACUUAAAUUGCCCACUUUAUUAGAAAUGAAUUUUCUAAUUAGUUGGAAGAAAUUUCUUCCAAGAAGGAACAUUAAAUGAAGUGAACUAUCUGUGUUAAAAAAUGAAAUUAAUAUGCAAAUGUAUCAAAUGUUUCUAUAUUUAAUGGGAUAAAUUUUGAAUGGUUAGGUAUUACUUGGAAGAAAUUUCUUCCAACUUAAGAGAGGAUGAAUAUGAAGAGUACACGUUGACUUUACUAACUAAACUUGUAUACUAUAUUGGAGUAAAAUACAUUUUCUAAUUAGUUGGAAGAAAUUUCUUUCAAAAAGACAGGAAAGUUUUAUGAACCAAAUGUAGAAAACAAUUAUUGCUUUCCAUUUUAUUAAAUUAUAGGUUACUGUUCUCCAUUUCAUUGUGAUUUGAAUGUUUUGUAAAAUAUGAAUAGUAAUUUAACAUAUAUAUCCAAUAAAAUUGUCAUAUUAAUGAUGUUUUUUUCUCCAUGUGUUCCCUUUGCCAGAGAAGAAAUUUCUUCUAACACUGUUUGUUUGAAAAAAAUACCCAUCAAAAGCAGAAUAUUAGCAUAUGAAAUUGCAGAAUUAGGUAUUUUUACCAUAACAGCAAAUA